UGGAGAGCCACAAGCAAAGUAGGAUUUGGCACCGGAGGCAGCUUGGGCGAGUGUGUUACAGGUGGCACACGAGCCUUGACGUGACAACUGGAAACAGCAGCGGCAGGGCAGGUGAAGGGCCGAGGUGCCGCGGAGGGGCCGAG